AUCCAGCUGACUAGUCUCAAAUAUGACGAAACGCAUGUCCUGGAU
rnacentral:hammerhead_ribozyme from 1 species